UACGGAGGGUGCAAGCGUUAUCCGGAUUUACUGGGUUUAAAGGGUGCGCAGGCGGAUAUGUAGUCAGUGGUGAAAUCUCUAGGCUUAACCUGGAAAUUGCCGUUGAUACUAUAUAUCUUGAAUGCUGUGGAGGUAAGCGGAAUAUGUCAUGUAGCGGUGAAAUGCUUAGAUAUGACAUAGAACACCUAUUGCGAAGGCAGCUUACUACGCAGAUAUUGACGCUCAUGCACGAAAGCGUGGGGAUCAAACAGG
rnacentral:rRNA from 1 species